AAACUUUCUAGAGCAUGAACCUCAUACAACCAAGACUAAAGUAGUUUGGUGCAAAAACGGAUUUGUUAAAACAGAGAGGCUUUUGUUGCAGCAAGAAAACAGAGCAGAGAGAUAUUAGAGAUGAGAAUAGAGAAGAAGGGAGCACACACACGUUUAACGAGUUCAGCAGUGUCAAUGUGACACUACCUACAUCUCGCCGAGACCUUGUCUCGGAAUCCACUAGAAAUGAACAAAGAUACAAGAGAUAUUACAAUGUGAAAACACCUUCUCGCUAACACACUAAUACUCUGUAUCACACCCUUGUUCUAAUGAGAAAACGCACCCCAAAGCUAAUGCUUUCUAUGUGUUCCUCUCUCACCCUCUUUCUACAUUGUGUGCUGCUACAAUCUCUCUCACGUCCCCAACUACUUAAAUACAAGGAGACAUCCUUAAACCUAGUGCACAAGAUGACAAAACACAAAGGCUCCUCUUUGUGGUCCCAAA
rnacentral:lncRNA from 1 species